CACCAGCAUGGGUUCCAGUUAUGUGAAACCAGCAUGGCCACAACUACAAUUUCACUUGGCUUGAUGGGUCUUCUCAAGCACAACAUAUUACCAAAGGUCACGGUCAUUAGCCAUUGCCUGUGUGUGGCCCAAAGUUCAAAGAUCAUGCUUCACCACCUU